UUGGGAGGAUCGAGAAACGAAAACAACUCUGAAAUGCAUCGGAUAGACAUGGAAGGAAUUUCUCAUGGUUGAAAACAAUACAAGAUGAACCAUGAAUCUUCAUGAGAACGGAUAAAGAUUUAAGAGAGACUCUUCUUCUCCCUUCGAAGUUGAGAAUGACAACGAUGAACACCACCAUGGAUUACUGAGAUACCCCGGAAUGAUGAAUAAAGAAAUGUUGAGCCAACCAUGAAAAUAAUUCAAAGUGAUCUUGGAUACGGAAUUUGACCGAUGAGAUUCAUUAUUGCGCCAUAUUUGAAAAGAACUUGGGAUCUCCGAAAAAGAUUAGAAGAGCCAGGUAAGAUCCUGGGAAAAGUCUGUGUUAUAUGGGCCCACUCAAA
rnacentral:lncRNA from 1 species